GAUAACUGUUUGCAACAUGCGUUGGAGAGUGUCCCGCAACUGCUGGAAAUUGCAAAGAAAUUGAUCUGUAAGGGAAGAAAGAAUAAGUUGGAUAAGAGCUCCGUGUACUACGCAGAAUUUGAAAAAGAAUUGAGGGAUUUUAUGGGAUGUACUGGCUGUUUUGCUGGC